rnacentral:tRNA from 1 species
GAGGAUAUAGCUCAGAGGUAGAGUGUGUGCUUAGCAUGCACAAGGUCCUGGGUUCAAUCCCCAGUACCUCCA